CACAUCAAUCGCAUAUGGACAGAGAUCUGGAACAUACCAAGUCUGGUAGAGAAAGAAUGACACCAAGAUCGGACUUGGGAUCAUUUUGGGCUCCGGGCAGAAAGAAUAAUGAUGUGAGAGAAAAGGUUCAAGAUGGUCCUGUAUGGCUUUCUGACAACUUGAUGAACAUGACUUCAAAUAUGAAGUUUGGUCCUGGU